GACAGAGGGUGCAAACGUUGCUCGGAAUCACUGGGCGUAAAGGGCGUGUAGGCGGGCAGGUAAGUCGGGCGUGAAAUCCCUGAGCUCAACUCAGGAACUGCACUCGAAACUACUUGUCUUGAGUGCCGGAGAGGAAAGCGGAAUACCUGGUGUAGAGGUGAAAUUCGUAGAUAUCAGGUGGAACACCAGUGGCGAAGGCGGCUUUCUGGACGGUAACUGACGCUGAGACGCGAAAGCGUGGGGAGCGAACAGG
rnacentral:rRNA from 1 species